rnacentral:rRNA from 1 species
GUGAACGCUGGCGGUAGGCCUAACACAUGCAAGUCGAACGGCAGCACAGUAAGAGCUUGCUCUUACGGGUGGCGAGUGGCGGACGGGUGAGGAAUACAUCGGAAUCUACUUUUUCGUGGGGGAUAACGUAGGGAAACUUACGCUAAUACCGCAUACGACCUACGGGUGAAAGCAGGGGAUCUUCGGACCUUGCGCGAUUGAAUGAGCCGAUGUCGGAUUAGCUAGUUGGCGGGGUAAAGGCCCACCAAGGCGACGAUCCGUAGCUGGUCUGAGAGGAUGAUCAGCCACACUGGAACUGAGACACGGUCCAGGCUCCUACGGGAGGCAGCAGUGGGGAAUAUUGGACAAUGGGCGCAAGCCUGAUCCAGCCAUACCGCGUGGGUGAAGAAGGCCUUCGGGUUGUAAAGCCCUUUUGUUGGGAAAGAAAAGCAGCAGGUUAAUACCCCGCUGUUCUGACGGUACCCAAAGAAUAAGCACCGGCUAACUUCGU